UAGGAUGAACGCUAGCGACAGGCCUAACACAUGCAAGUCGAGGGGCAGCACAAGGAGCAAUCUGAGGUGGCGACCGGCGCACGGGUGAGUAACACGUAUGCAACCUGCCUGUAAGCGGGGAAUAACCCGUUGAAAGACGGACUAAUACCGCAUAAUACUAAAUUACUGCAUGGUAAUUUAUUUAAACAUUUAUGGCUUACAGAUGGGCAUGCGCAUGAUUAGCUAGUUGGAGAGGUAACGGCUCCCCAAGGCAACGAUCAUUAGGGGUUCUGAGAGGAAGGUCCCCCACACUGGUACUGAGACACGGACCAGACUCCUACGGGAGGCAGCAGUGAGGAAUAUUGGUCAAUGGACGAGAGUCUGAACCAGCCAAGUCGCGUGCAGGAAGAAUGUCCUAUGGAUUGUAAACUGCUUUUGCAGGGGAAUAAAGUGCAUCACGUGUGAUGUUUUGUAUGUACUCUGCGAAUAAGGAUCGGCUAACUCCGUGCCAGCAGCAGC
rnacentral:rRNA from 1 species